UACGGAGGGUGCAAGCGUUAUCCGGAUUUACUGGGUUUAAAGGGUGCGUAGGCGGAUAAGUAAGUCCGUAGGUGAAAUCCUGCAGCUUAACUGCAAGACUGCCGUGGAUACUAUUUGUCUUGAAUAUCGUGGAGGUUAGGCGGAAUAUGUCAUGAGCGGUGAAAUGCUUAGAUAUGACAUAGAACACCCAUUGCGAAGGCAGCUAACUACGCGAUUAUUGACGCUGAUGCACGAAAGCGUGGGGAUCAAACAGG
rnacentral:rRNA from 1 species